rnacentral:rRNA from 1 species
AUUGAACGCUGGCGGCAGGCCUAACACAUGCAAGUCGAACGCGUCGCGGACGGGUGUAUAAUGUCUGUGAAACUGCCCUAUGGCGGGGGAUACCUCCGGGAAACGGUAGCUAAUCCCGCAAACCAUCCGCUGAUCCCAGAUGGGAUUCGCUAGUAGGUGGGGUAACGGCUCACCUAGGAGACGAUCCCUAGCUGGUCUGAGAGGAUGACCAGCCACACUGGAACUGAGACACGGUCCAGACUCCUACGGGAGGCAGCAGUGGGGAAUAUUGCACAAUGGGCGAAAGCCUGAGGGAGCCAUGACGCGUGUAUGAAGAAGGUCUUCGGAUUGUAAAGUACUUUCAGCGGGGAGGCGUUACUCGCAGAAGAAGCACCGGCUAACUCCGUGCCAGUAGCCGCGGUAAUAC